rnacentral:rRNA from 1 species
AUUGAAGGCUGAAAUUCGCCUUCAUGAAGCCGGAAUUGCUAGUAAUGGCAGGUCAGCAUACUGCCGUGAAUACGUUCCCGGGCCUUGUACACACCGCCCGUCACACCAUGAGAGUUGGGAAUACCCGAAGCCUGUGAGCUAACUUUUAGAGGCAGCAGUCGAAGGUAGAAUCAAUGAUUGGGGUGAAGUCGUAACAAGGUAAC